rnacentral:rRNA from 1 species
UUCCCAGACUCCUACGGGAGGCAGCAGUGAGGAAUAUUGGUCAAUGGGCGCGAGCCUGAACCAGCCAAGUCGCGUGAGGGAUGACGGUCCUACGGAUUGUAAACCUCUUUUGCCGGGGAGCAAGCGUGCGUUCGUGAACGCGCGUCGAGAGUACCCGGAGAAAAAGCAUCGGCUAACUCCGUGCCAGCAGCCGCGGUAAUACGGAGGAUGCGAGCGUUAUCCGGAUUUAUUGGGUUUAAAGGGUGCGCAGGCGGAGGUGCAAGUCAGCGGUCAAAUUGCGGGGCUCAACCCCGUACUGCCGUUGAAACUGGCAGUCUCGAGUUGGAGAGAAGUAUGCGGAAUGCGCGGUGUAGUGGUGAAAUGCAUAGAUAUCGCGCAGAACUCCGAUUGCGAAGGCAGCAUGCCGGCUCCACACUGACGCUGAGGCACGAAAGCGUGGGUAUCGAACAGGAUUAGAUACCCCAGUAC